rnacentral:rRNA from 1 species
AUACGGAGGGUGCAAGCGUUAUCCGGAUUUAUUGGGUUUAAAGGGUCCGUAGGCGGACUAGUAAGUCAGUGGAGAAAGCCUUCAGCUUAACUGGAGAACUGCCAUUGAUACUGCUAGUCUUGAGUUCGGUUGAAGUGGGCGGAAUAUGUGGUGUAGCGGUGAAAUGCAUAGAUAUCACAUAGAACACCUAUUGCGAAGGCAGCUCACUAAGCCGAUACUGACGCUCAGGGACGAAAGCGUGGGGAGCGAACAGGAUUAGAAACCCUAGUAGUCC